GUGAGUAACACGUGGAUAACCUACCUAUAAGACUGGGAUAACUUCGGGAAACCGGAGCUAAUACCGGAUAAUAUUUUGAACCGCAUGGUUCAAAAGUGAAAGACGGUCUUGCUGUCACUUAUAGAUGGAUCCGCGCUGCAUUAGCUAGUUGGUAAGGUAACGGCUUACCAAGGCAACGAUGCAUAGCCGACCUGAGAGGGUGAUCGGCCACACUGGAACUGAGACACAGUCCAG
rnacentral:rRNA from 1 species